UGUCGUUGAACGCCCGAAGCCCUGAGGGCCUGAACUGCUGAUCGUGAAAACCCUAAUACCCUAACUCCUCGUCGCCCCAAAGCUCCAAGCUGAAGUCGCCGGACGCCGCCUCGCCGCACCACGAACCACCGACCAGACUCACCAGAUAUAAGCACUAAGCUCUUCGUCGACUCGCCGGACCUGUCCGCCGCUUCGCCUGCUGCCGGACUAUUACUCGCUCACCGUCGGACCAGUCACUCGCUCAUCGCCGGAUUUCUGACGAAAGACAUUGGAAUCAAACUAACCUGGGAAAUUGGAAAAUUGUAAGAUUAAAGCUCCAGACCUUCAAGAAAUGGCUGACAAAUUGGCCCCUGAGAAGCAGCACAGCUUCAUCCACAAUGGUCAGAAGGUCUUUGAAUGGGACCAAACACUUGAAGAGUUGAAUAUUUAUAUCAAUCUCCCGGAAAAUGUUCCCAAAAAGCUAUUCUAUUGUAAAAUCGAGUCCAAACAUUUGGAAGUUGGGAUUAAAGGCAACCCUCCUUACCUCGAUCAUGACCUUUCCAAUCAUGUGAAGACAGAUUGCUCAUUCUGGACUUUAGAGGAUGAUAUAAUGCACGUUACCCUUCAAAAGAGGGAUAAAGGUCAGACAUGGUCUUCUCCUAUCAUAGGUCAAGGUCAGUUGGAUCCGUACACCACGGACCUUGAACAGAAGCGCCUCAUGCUUCAAAGGUUCCAAGAAGAGAAUCCGGGCUUUGAUUUUUCACAAGCACAGUUCAAUGGCAAUUGCCCUGAUCCAAGGUCCUUCAUGGGUGGGAUCCGAUCUACUUAACUUUGAAAGUAAUUUAUCUUCACUCUGAUUCAUCUCUCAGUCUCGGCUUUCUGCAGUCUCUAGUGGAUGCCAUGUCAAAACUGGAUUUGUGCAAUUGUUAGGCAUGUCCAAUUUUUAAAUAUUUAUGGAGGCUAAUGUAAGGAAACUUUAGGAACAUAUUACUAUGACUAUGAAAUCAAGUCAAAUUUGGUGACCACCAAGGAUAGUUUUGAAGUACAUAUUCCUGCAUUGGUUAAUCAACUGCACUUUAUAGCCUGAAUUGUUUGGAUGGUUGAAACUUGAAAUUAUUGUUAGUUUCUUUGUAAUAUGCUUAGAUGGGUGAACUCUUCAAGUUCUAUGUGUUUAUUAUAUUAUUUAGUAUUUACAAUCUGUAUUAGAGUUGCAGUUGUAUUGGUAUAAUUUUCAAUUGCAGAUUAGUCAGGAGAAAAUUAUUCAA